CUCUCAGCUGACUCUCCCUUAGCUGGGAACGAAAAAAAAGAAAAACCCUAAGGCUCCGAAGAAAAAAAAGGGAAGAAAAACCCUAGCCGCCUCCAGCUCUUUCCUCUCUUCUCCUUUCAUAUCGGACACUCUCUCAGCUCUCACGGAUUUCCCUCAGCUCUCGAAAAUAAACCCUGCAUCCUCACCUUCUGCCUCUCCCUGCAAUUGCUACUCCCUCUCAGCCGUUAGUUCUCUGUGUUCCUCAUCAAUCACUCCAUCAAUCUGAUCAUUUUUUUCCCUUGGCAGCUCGAUAUUGACAGUGAAAGAAGGAACCCAUGGUUGCGUGCCCAGCUCCUCCCCGUUCCUCCUCCUUGCUGUCCUAUUGCAUCAUUUCCCGUGCUGUGAGCUGCUGUUGCCCAUUCUUCUGUGUUGCUUCUGUUCGGGGGCUUCAACUGCCCGUUGUACCGCUGCUACUGAGCUACUCGCGUUUGCUGCUGCCUUCCCCGAGUCGAUACCACUGAUGCUCAACCCUUCUCUGAGAAACUCAAUCGAUGAAAGAGUGCUAGCUCGUUUGACAUGAUUUCGACAACUUAAAGUCACGUUUAUGCUAUAGGCUUAGUCAUGUGCAGGUUUGUGGUUCUAUAUAUGAUGACUUAGCUUUAUCUCGAUAGCUAGGAACUGUCCUUGAUGAAGACGCUGAGUUAUAUGAUGAUUUCUUGAUCGAUUCAUGGUGUCUUGGCUCGGUUUACUGAACUUGAUGUUGUCUCUAACAAUGUGGCCGGGUUAUGCUACGGUUCCUUUGUUGUUUCAAUCUUGUUUGACAUGAUUUCGUGGGCUUGAGGUUGAGUCUAUGAUAUGAGCUGAGUUAUCGUAAUCAUUUUGGAUUGAAUGGAAAUAAUGAUUGAUGCAUUACUACUAUUUUCGACAUGAGGCUAAGUUGGGCAUGAUAAUGGAAGAACGAUAUUUGCUUGAUGUGAAUGGAUGGGAAGCUUAUUUUGGGAUCAUAAUUUGUUUUCCCCUGGUGCUAUAACUGAUUCAUUAAGGCUGCAUUUAACUAAGAAAGAGGGCUCAGAGUAGUGCUUGUGUGCUAUUUUCUUGAUAUAAAGAUGGAGGUAUAGUUCGGGGAAUACUAGGGGUGUCAUUCAUGGCUGAACAGAGGGGCUUAAAAUCCAUUUUUCGUCUAGUUUAAUGCGGGUUUCAGAUCUGAUCGGAAUUCCCUUUCUCUUGGAACUUUUGAACUACGUGUGGUUUGAUAGAAGAUACAUAAGUUUGGUAGCGGUCUAGAUGGAAUCGUGGAUUCUUUGGUCUGUUAUAAAACCCAUGUGGAGAUGAAGGGUUUAACAAAGAUCAUGAAAUUGCAUGCCCUCAUUUGUCUUCUUUUAUGUGUUGAGGCCUAGUGGUCGUAGAUGUUGCUUUCCCAUAUGUCUCGGCUGUAUUUUAUGCAUAAGCUCUGAAGUCAUAAUGCCUUAGACUCCUUGAAACUCUUCCUUCGAGUUUUACUGGCUUUGUAUUCGCUACUCUUCCGACCCCCUCUCGUUUUUCUUUCUUGCUUUUGCAUGUUAUCCCAAGCUUGGGAGGAGAAGACAAGGAAUGAGGAGUCAUGAGAAGGAAUAAGUAUGGAUUGACUCCAAGACGACGUGGAGACUUACCUAGGCUUAGGUUGAGUCCCGACUUGAAGGCCGCCCCGGUCCGUGGUAGUCAAGGAUCUUUCGAGCUAGCUCAUCCUGAGAAUCUCUUGGGAUCAGCUCGAUACUGACAGUGAAAGAAGAAACCCAUGGUUGCGUGCCCAGCUCCUCCCCGUUCCUCCUCCUUGCUAUCCUAUUGCUGCAUUUCUGGUGCUGUGAGCUGCUGUUGACCAUUCUUCUGUGUUGCUUCUGUUCGGGGGCUUCAAUUGCCCGUUGUACCACUGCUACUGAGCUGCUCGCAUUUGCUGCUGCCUUCCCCGAGUCGAUACCACUGAUGCUCAGCCCUUCUCUGAGAAACUCAAUCGAUGAAAGAGUGCUAGCUCGUUUGACAUGAUUUCGACAACUUAAAGUCACGUUUAUGCUAUAGGCUUAGUCAUGUGCAGCUUGGGAGGAGAAGACGAGGAAUGAGGAGUCAUGAGAAGGAAUAAGUAUGGAUUGACUCCAAGACGACGAGGAGACUUACCUAGGCUUAGGUUGAGUCUCGACUUGAAGGCCGCCCCGGUCCGUGGUAGUCAAGGAUCUUUCGAGCUAGCUCAUCCUGAGAAUCUCUUGGGAUCAGGAAGAGUCGUGCAAGGCUCGAACCAUCCACGAACCGAACCUCGAGCAAGAUGGGCGACGUCACCUUAACCACGGAGUAGGUGCAGCAGCAGCGAAGCAAUGGCAUCAGCAAAGGGAGAAGAUCAGGAAAAGAGAUAGAUAUCACCACAGAAAAGAGGGAACAGUGGAAAGAACUGGAAAUGAACAAAGGGAGAAGGCUUAGCUCAAAUGUUUGGCGACAAGGAGCUCAAGGAGAGGCUUGCGGGCUGGCUUCGUGUUGUUCUUUUCUUCUUUCCUUCUUUUCUGACCGAAGGCGACUCUCCUCCUUGUUGUUCUAUCCAGUCGAGCCCUCAAAGGAAGAAAAGGAUGGCAUCCAAUUGAUGGGGUGAUCCCUUAUUGGUCAGGAUCUUUGAUGGCCGAGAGAGAUUGAGAGAAUGUGAGAAAGGUUGAUGGUGAGAAGGAGUAGUAGAUGAUGAAGCUUAGUACUUGUAUGGUGUCCAGGUGGGGGCAAGUGGAGACGAUGAGCAUGAUGGUCGAUGGUCAUGCUGCAAUCCGAGAGCAGAGGUCAAGAAGUGAUGGUUGAUGGGCCGAGGUCCCGAUUACAAAUUAAUGUCCAGUUCAUGCAAAGUUGUUUAAAUUGAAUGAA